rnacentral:rRNA from 1 species
AGUGAACGCUGGCGGCAGGCCUAACACAUGCAAGUCGAACGGCAGCACAGUAAGAGCUUGCUCUUACGGGUGGCGAGUGGCGGACGGGUGAGGAAUACAUCGGAAUCUACUUUUUCGUGGGGGAUAACGUAGGGAAACUUACGCUAAUACCGCAUACGACCUACGGGUGAAAGCAGGGGAUCUUCGGACCUUGCGCGAUUGAAUGAGCCGAUGUCGGAUUAGCUAGUUGGCGGGGUAAAGGCCCACCAAGGCGACGAUCCGUAGCUGGUCCGAGAGGAUGAUCAGCCACACUGGAACUGAGACACGGUCCAGACUCCUACGGGAGGCAGCAGUGGGGAAUAUUGGACAAUGGGCGCAAGCCUGAUCCAGCCAUACCGCGUGGGUGAAGAAGGCCUUCGGGUUGUAAAGCCCUUUUGUUGGGAAAGAAAAGCAGCAGGUUAAUACCCCGCUGUUCUGACGGUACCCAAAGAAUAAGCACCGGCUAACUUCGUG